rnacentral:rRNA from 1 species
AGUGAACGAUAACGGUAGGCCUAACACAUGCAAGUCGAACGGCAGCACAGUAAGAGCUUGCUCUUACGGGUGGCGAGUGGCGGACGGGUGAGGAAUACAUCGGAAUCUACUUUUUCGUGGGGGAUAACGUAGGGAAACUUACGCUAAUACCGCAUACGACCUACGGGUGAAAGCAGGGGAUCUUCGGACCUUGCGCGAUUGAAUGAGCCGAUGUCGGAUUAGCUAGUUGGCGGGGUAAAGGCCCACCAAGGCGACGAUCCGUAGCUGGUCUGAGAGGAUGAUCAGCCACACUGGAACUGAGACACGGUCCAGACUCCUACGGGAGGCAGCAGUGGGGAAUAUUGGACAAUGGGCGCAAGCCUGAUCCAGCCAUACCGCGUGGGUGAAGAAGGCCUUCGGGUUGUAAAGCCCUUUUGUUGGGAAAGAAAAGCAGCAGGUUAAUACCCCGCUGUUCUGACGGUACCCAAAGAAUAAGCACCGGCUAACUUCGUG